AUUCAAGUAGCUUAUAUAGAGUAUAACAUUGAAGCUGUUAUGGAAACAAUUAUAUGUUCUUGAAUA
rnacentral:tRNA from 1 species